UACGUAGGGUGCAAGCGUUAAUCGGAAUUACUGGGCGUAAAGCGUGCGCAGGCGGCGGUGCUGGCCCGGCGUGAAAGCCCCCGGCUCAACCGGGGAGGGUCGUCGGGGACCGCACCGCUUGAGGGCGGUAGGGGCUGGUGGAAUGCCUGGUGUAGUGGUGAAAUGCGUAGAGAUCAGGCGGAACACCCGUGGCGAAGGCGGCCAGCUGGGCCGUCCCUGACGCUGAGGCGCGAAGGCGUGGGGAGCGAACGGG
rnacentral:rRNA from 1 species